rnacentral:rRNA from 1 species
GUGCCAGCAGCCGCGGUAAUACAGGGGGCGCGAGCGUUGCUCGGAAUCACUGGGCGUAAAGCGUACGCAGGCGGACCGUUAAGUCGGGUGUGAAAUCCCAGGGCUCAACCCUGGACGUGCAUUCGAUACUGGCGGUCUCGAGUACGGGAGAGGUGAGUGGAAUUCCUGGUGUAGAGGUGAAAUUCGUAGAUAUCAGGAGGAACACCGGUGGCGAAAGCGGCUCACUGGCCCGAUACUGACGCUCAUGUACGAAAGCGUGGGGAGCAAACAGGAUUAGAUACCCUGGUAGUCC